rnacentral:rRNA from 1 species
UGGGGAAUAUUGCACAAUGGGCGCAAGCCUGAUGCAGCCAUGCCGCGUGUGUGAAGAAGGCCUUCGGGUUGUAAAGCACUUUCAGCGGGGAGGAAGGCGAUAAGGUUAAUAACCUUGUCGAUUGACGUUACCCGCAGAAGAAGCACCGGCUAACUCCGUGCCAGCAGCCGCGGUAAUACGGAGGGUGCAAGCGUUAAUCGGAAUUACUGGGCGUAAAGCGCACGCAGGCGGUUUGUUAAGUCAGAUGUGAAAUCCCCGGGCUCAACCUGGGAACUGCAUCUGAUACUGGCAAGCUUGAGUCUCGUAGAGGGGGGUAGAAUUCCAGGUGUAGCGGUGAAAUGCGUAGAGAGCUGGAGGAAUACCGGUGGCGAAGGCGGCCCCCUGGACGAAGACUGACGCUCAGGUGCGAAAGCGUGGGGAGCAAACAGG